GGGGAAUAUUGCACAAUGGGCGCAAGCCUGAUGCAGCCAUGCCGCGUGUGUGAAGAAGGCCUUCGGGUUGUAAAGCUCUGUCUUCAGGGACGAUAAUGACGGUACCUGAGGAGGAUGCCACGGCUAACUACGUGCCAGCAGCCGCGGUAAUACGUAGGGGGCAAGCGUUAUCCGGAUUUACUGGGUGUAAAGGGAGCGUAGACGGCUAUGCAAGUCUGGUGUGAAAACCCGGGGCUCAACCCCGGGACUGCAUUGGAAACUGUGUGGCUUGGGUGUCGGAGAGGUAAGUGGAAUUCCUAGUGUAGCGGUGAAAUGCGUAGAUAUUAGGAGGAACACCAGUGGCGAAGGCGGCUUACUGGACGAUGACUGACGUUGAGGCUCGAAAGCGUGGGGAGCAAAC
rnacentral:rRNA from 1 species